rnacentral:rRNA from 1 species
CAGCAGCCGCGGUAAUACGGAGGGUGCAAGCGUUAAUCGGAAUUACUGGGCGUAAAGCGUGCGUAGGCGGCUUUUUAAGUCGGAUGUGAAAUCCCUGAGCUUAACUUAGGAAUUGCAUUCGAUACUGGGAAGCUAGAGUAUGGGAGAGGAUGGUAGAAUUCCAGGUGUAGCGGUGAAAUGCGUAGAGAUCUGGAGGAAUACCGAUGGCGAAGGCAGCCAUCUGGCCUAAUACUGACGCUGAGGUACGAAAGCAUGGGGAGCAAACAGGAUUAGAUACCCGUGUAGUCCCUGUCUAUUAUAC